UUCCCCAGUGUCAGACCUGAGCAGGCUCUCCCCUGUGCUAGAGCUGACGGGUGAUGACAGCCUUCUUUUAUCUCCUUCUGAUUACGAUGUUCAGCUGCGAGUUAAAAAUAGGUCUGGGCGUUCCUUUUCUGCUGCUUCAGAUUCUAGAAGUUCAUCGCAGAUAUCCCAACGCAAUGGAUUACAAGAAGUUUUAGUCUAUGCUCAAGGCCAUUCUGACACUCUUCUAGUCUUACUACUGUCCAGGAGUGCCAAGUGCAGCAAAUCAUUCAUCAACUCUUUGUGGAAAUCUUGUCUGUCUCACUUGGCUGAGCUUGACUUUGAAGUGAAGGAUGCUGAACGCCAUGUUAAAGAUGAAACAGAGAAUAUUGGAGCCUCCUUUCAGUACAUCAAAUAUGAUUCAUUCACACAGAGUUUAAAAGGU
rnacentral:sRNA from 1 species